rnacentral:rRNA from 1 species
GACGAACGCUGGCGGCGUGCUUAACACAUGCAAGUCGAACGGAAAGGCCUCUUUCGGGGGGUACUCGAGUGGCGAACGGGUGAGUAACACGUGAGUAACCUGCCCUUGACUUUGGGAUAACUUCAGGAAACUGGGGCUAAUACCGGAUAGGAGCUCCUGCUGCAUGGUGGGGGUUGGAAAGUUUCGGCGGUUGGGGAUGGACUCGCGGCUUAUCAGCUUGUUGGUGGGGUAGUGGCUUACCAAGGCUUUGACGGGUAGCCGGCCUGAGAGGGUGACCGGCCACAUUGGGACUGAGAUACGGCCCAGACUCCUACGGGAGGCGGCAGUGGGGAAUAUUGCACAAUGGGUGGAAGCCUGAUGCAGCAACGCCGUGUGCGGGAUGACGGCCUUCGGGUUGUAAACCGCUUUCGCUCAUGACGAAGCUUUGUGUGACGGUAGUGGGUAAAGAAGCACCGGCUAACUACGU